GUGUCACAAGACAGCUUUGCAUAAGAGAUGGAAGAAGCUCUGUGAUUCAAGGUACUCAAAUGCUAGGCUUUUUGCUCAGUGCUUGGAGAAGCCUAUCAAAUGAACAACAUUUAGGGCACUGACUUCAACAAUGAAAAAGAUUUGGUUGAUACUUACCCCAAUGGAAGUGACAAAGUUGCAGACUGCACAUUUCACUGAUCUUGCUCCAUAUUGAUACAUCAGCAGCAUUUGGCAGUUCCCACAAUUCACAUGUGCUACCUGAUUUGCUGGAACCAAAUAUGUUUAUUGAACUUAAUAUAUGUGUCAGCAAGCAAUAUAUAUAUAUAUA